UACAGGGGGUGCAAACGUUGCUCGGAAUCAUUGGGCGUAAAGCGCACGUAGGCGGUUUGUUAUGUCGGAUGUGAAAGCCCUUGGCUCAACUGAGGAAGUGCAUCCGAAACUGGCAAGCUAGAGUACUAAAGAGGGUCGCGGAAUUCCCGGUGUAGAGGUGAAAUGCGUAGAUAUCUGGAGGAAUACCGGUGGCGAAGGCGGCAUCCUGGACCGGCAUUGACGCUGAGGAGCGAAAGCCAGGGGAGCAAACGGG
rnacentral:rRNA from 1 species